UGGCGAUUUCAUCCCGUAGGGUGCAUCCAUACAGGAAAGGCUUGAGAAAAAGGAGGAGCAGGACAAUGGCCUGGAUUUCUGGAGGCCUGAUUUAAAGCUGCUCACUUCUGCAGGGAAGGAAAGGAGGAGGAGACCGGCUCAAAUCUCUGGAGGACAGCCUGCUCUCUGCUAUAGGGCUUAAUAUCACUGAAACAAAGCAAGGAGGGAGAAAUUGCACCGUGCAGAUCCACUUCCAGUGGCAUCUCUGGUGGAGCUGGAAUUGCUGCUGAUCACCACCCUCAACAGGUCUGCACCCACCAUCUCCCAGCUUGGUUGUGCCUCUUCUGCACUUUGUGACACUGACUGAGGCUAGGCUUUGGAAGGAGAUUGAUUACUGGACUGGUGGUUGACUCUAACAUUUGUUUCCAACUAUACCACUUGAAUCACUGAAAGAUCACAGUGUGAAGAUAGAUCUUAGGUAGAGGCUGAGACCGGGUUGGUGUUACUUGACUGGG
rnacentral:lncRNA from 1 species